rnacentral:rRNA from 1 species
GUGAGGAAUAUUGGUCAAUGGGCGGAAGCCUGAACCAGCCAUCCCGCGUGGAGGAAGACGGCCCUAUGGGUUGUAAACUGCUUUUCCGGGGGGAGAAUUUUUCCGUCGUGACGGGAAUUGACGGUACCCCGGGAAUAAGCGUCGGCUAACUCCUUGCCAGCAGCCGCGGUAAUACGGAGGAUGCGAGCGUUAUCCGGCUUUAUUGGGUUUAAAGGGUGCGUAGGCGGACUGAUAAGUCAGUGGUGAAAACCUGCAGCUUAACUGUAGACUUGCCGUUGAUACUGUCAGUCUUGAGUGUGGUCAAGGUAGGCGGAAUGUGUAAUGUAGCGGUGAAAUGCUUAGAUAUUACACAGAACACCGAUUGCGAAGGCAGCUUACUGGGCCAUUACUGACGCUGAUGCACGAAAGCGUGGGGAUCGAACAGGAUUAGAUACCCGUGUAGUCC